GAGAGAGAGAGGUCUUCCAUCCACUAGUUCACUCCCUAGAUGGCCACAAUGGCCAGAGCUGCGCGGAUCCAAAGCCAGGAGCCAGGAGUCUCCCACGUGGGUGCAGGGACCCAAGGACUUGGGUCAUCUUCCACUGCCCCUCCAGACCAUAGCAGAGAACUGAUCAGAAGAGGAACAGCAAGGACUAGAACUGGCACCCAUAUGGGAUGCCAGUGCUUCAGGCCAGGACUUUAACCCACUGUGCCACAGCGCUGGCCCCUAAAUAAAUCUUUUAAAAAAAAAAAAAAAGAACUUGUAGAACUGAAAAAGGAGCGAGGGGCAGGCAGUGUGGUGCAUCAGGUUAAGGCACGGCUUGGGACAUGCACCCCCGUAGCACAGUGCAGGUUUGAGCCUCAGCUACUCGGCUCCCCAAGCAGCUUCCCGCUCGUUCCUCCUGGGAGGCAGCACAUGGGGACUCAAGUACCUGGGCCCCUGCCACCCGAGUGGGAGACCUGAACGGAGUUCCUGGCUCCUGGCUUCGGCCUGACCUAGUCCUGGUUGUUAUGGGGAUUUGGGGAGUGAACCAGCAGGCGGACUAUCUUUCUCUUCCUGUCGUUCUGCCUUUCAAGUAGGAGAAAACAAACUAAAAAAUUUUAAAAAGGAAAGUAAAUGUAACUUUACACAUGAGAAAUCAUUAAUUUGUUUAAACGUGUGUGCCUUUACUGCUGGGCAGGCUGCUCCGAGAGGCUGCAGCGGGAGGAGUGGGUAGCCCCGUAGCCCCGUGGGCCCGUGGCGGGCCGGCCAUGCUUCGCAGCCUUGUAGGUGAUGGAGAAUUUGCCUAGGUAGUGGCCGACCACCUCGGCCGUGAUUUCCACCAGCGUGAAGCUCGAGCCCGGUUCGCCCACCACCCACAGCAGGAGGACCACACCCAGCAGGGGUGUCCCCCACCCCCGCUUCCGGCCUCUCGGUGGGAGGCCCCGCCUUCUUGGCCUUGCGCAGGCGCGUCAGUGGAGAGCGCGGCUUCCGGCGCAGGCCCCGGCUCAGUGCCGCCGCCGCGGGGCGCUGUGCGGCUGCUCGGAGGUCCGCGUCGUGGGAAGCAAACUUGCCGGAGGUCCGCUGCUUCUGGGGCUCCGCUUCCGCCAUCUUGUCGGCUUCCUGAAACUGGUCAUUUAAAUUAAGGAAAAUUACUUAAUAGACUAACGGCUGAUUGGUCAUAGCUGAAGGAAGAAGUAGCAGGCUGGAAAAAUGGAUCUGAGGAAAUGAUUCAGAAUGAAGCACAGAGAAAUAAAAGAUAAAAACCUAUGGAGCGCUCCCACUCUGCACCUGAGAGACGACGCACAUGAGUGCCCUUCCUGCCACCUUUUCGUUUUUCGCCUUUUCGCCUCCGCACACGGAGAGUGGGUCUUCCCCACUCAGUCUGCAGAUACCUGCGUGAACACCCAGACACCGUGCCGUCCAGGAAUCCCUCAGCCCAGUCACGUUGACACCCAAAAUCCAUCGCAGGAGGCUAACGGACCUGGAAGGCAGCAGGAGACCUAACAUCCCUGUCAACCAUCCGCGAGAGAGAACAGGAAAUGGGAAGGCGGCCAUGGUUGACAACACAACAGCUGGAAAAUGUGCGGACUUACAUGAGUCCUCAGGUUUAGAAAAGGCAGCAAGCCCCAAAUAGGAUAAAUAUACAGAGGAAGAAACCCACACGUAUUUUCAUGGUAGUGAAACUACAGACCAUUCCACAAAGGGAAGAUAGGGAAGACUACCAGAGGAAAAACAGUUAUCUACAGUAGGAGACUUCGCGGAGGAGGAGACGAAAUGAUUGCAAUAGCUACUACUAGGAAAAAAGACGCCUCUAGGAAAACACCAUACUUAGCCACUGGUCCAGUGCUGUGCUGUGUUUUGCUGGAUAACUCUAUACAGAAAGAUAUUCCCAGAGACCACUAAUGCUGCUGGCCUGACCCUGUUCAUCUUGAUUCCUUCGCCAAUGACGGGUGCUGCCAGCCCAAGAUAGAAGCAGAACCUGACAUGGCUGCGGUGGCUGUCCUGAGAUAAGCACAAUCUGCCCAAGUUCAACAGUGUUACCUGCUGUGUGAUCUGUACUUGAGAUCCCUCGUUAGCCAAUGUGUGACCACCGUAAUUUACUUUUUUAACCUUUAAAAAAUAUGGCAACUUGAGAUGUAAUUCACACGGCAUAAAAUGUAUCUAUUUGAAGGAAUUCCAUGAUUUUUAGUAUUACCUCGGAGUCGCACCACCAUCUCCAUAAUCAGUUUUACAUUUUCUGUACCCCACUAGAACUCCACUCCCGUUGGCAGUUACUCUCCAUUUCCCCAACUUCCAGUCCUGGGAAACCAUGCAUCUAUGUUUUUUCCUACACAUUUGCCUACAAAUGAAAUCAUACGAUAUGUGGUCCUUUUCACUUGGCAUGGUCUCAAGGUUCAUGCAUAUCAGAUACUUCACUCCUUGGCACUGCCAAACACUAUUCCAUGUGCAGAUACACCACCACGUUUUCUUCAUCAAGGCAUCACUUGGCGGAUGUAUGGGCUGUUUCCAAUCUCAUCAAGAUAUUUCUCCACAUUUCAGCUUACUCAGCUAUUACGAUGAGAGUGAGGUACCUUGUCUGUUGCAGAUAUGGGAGGUGCACAGGGAAUACAUGAGAUGUAUUCUAAACUAUAAAGCCCUGCAAGA